CUAGCCUGGCCCAGAGGAGGAGUUUUGUGUUGCAUAAAUUGUGAGUUCUGUGUGCCAGUAAAUCAGUCUUGUUCCAGCAUUAAGCCUUGGCUCAUGUUUGGGGGAAGGGAUACCUACACUCUGGGGAUUGCUAUAAUCACUUACUCCCCAGAGGAAGCUCUUGCAAUAGCCUGAUUUGUUCCUGUUCCUGCUCUCUGGAGAAAGAGAGGUUCACCCACUGGAAGCUGGAUCCUGGCCUUGGGUCCAGGGUGGGGGGAAACAGCAGAGACCCCGGCGCAGUUGCAUCACUGGAAGUGGGGUCUGCAGUGCUGAUGGUGUCGGUUGGAGUGCUUGGGGUCCUCAGCGAGCACUAGGAGCAUCGAUUGGCAGAGGUACUCAGUCGGAGUGCCAGCGUUCCGUCACAAUACCCGUCCUUGACAAUCAAUUAUCUGUAACCUCAGAACUCACCUGGGCACUUGUCCUCCCCCCUCGUCCAAACCAACACGGGCCACAAAACCUAGCCUUCCACCAACACCAUGCUAACCUCUGGCCGACCUUUGGCUCAGUGGGCAUGUCCGUAAUAAACCGUACCUUAACUUCACCGAGGCUAGGGGAGGGAU